AUAACUGGGGCUCGAGUUUUGUAGGAGCAAAGUCCUCCGAUUUCUUGGGUACCCCCCUCUCCAGUUUGGAAUGGGAGGAACCAUGGUGUCACGUGACCAAGUUUGUCAAGUCAGCUGACGAGGAAGAACGGGUAGCCCGGUUUUGGAACAGCGUUUAUCUCUGGCGGAGCUCCAGGUAAACUUGGCGAUGGGCUGUCAGCAGCCGAGGAUUGAGAUUAUGUCAUUUUGGUCUCAUAUACCUUAGUUUUGAGUGGUGUCCUGCGCUGGGAAAAUGGUAAUUGAGACAGAUUUACACCGAGAGAACGCUUCUGUCUCCUCUCUACUCAUCCGUACCGUUUGAAAUAGACACUCUGACACGGUAAAAGGAGAUGGCAACCCCUUCCCAAGCCCAGGCGUGCUGUCGUGGCUAGAACGCUUUAAAAUUGCUGAGAGUUCUUGGCAUUGGAGAUCCUUAAGUAACGUUUUGUUACCAAACAUGGAAUACUGAAGAGUUUUGGAUACCAAAUCCAGGAAAAAUAUGGGCGUUAGGAAAGUCCAGGGGAAGCGGACUCAACGAACAAACUGUUAAGAGUCCUCUCUUACCAUGUCUGGCUGACGGCGACCCAGAUGCCAUGUGAUGGCCAUUUGAAGACAGGCUUGUCGGACAUCAGGUGGCCACCAUGUCACAUACGGCAGUGUAAACCAUUCACGGAGAAUCCAGUGUGAGUGCCCACCUGGAUUUGGUGCAACAGUACCGCCCUGCAUGAGUACAGAUGGAGUAAAAGAGAAGAACCGAUCAAAGUCACAUCAAAGGGAUGUGACCAGGAUUCUUGAAGAAUGAAACUCCAAGUGUUGAAAAAGAGAAGACUGAACCAAGUCCAUGGAAGUGCUAUUAGAAAACUGAUCAAUCAGCGAAGCGUUAACAAAUAACAUGGAUGUAGUAAGAAGGAUGGGCUUCUCUGAUGGCUCAGACGGUAAAGAAUCUGCCUGCAAUGAGGGAGACCUGGGUUCAGUCCCUGUGUUGGGAAGAUCCCCUGGAGAAGGAAAUAGCAACCCGAUCUAGUAUUCUUGCCUGGAGAAUUCCAUGGACAGAGGAGCCUGGUGAGCUAUUGUCCAUGGGGUCUCAGAUUUGGACACAACUGAACAACUAAUACACAUACACAGUAAGAAGGGUCACCCACCUGAGAUAAUUCAGACAGGGGCUAAGCAGGGUUUUAGGGCAAACAGUCAACAGGUGACACAUUGGCCACAAUCAAAGGGACAGGCAUGGCUUGUCUUUUCCCGCAGCCAUUAUCUAUGCACGGGAGUCUUUUCCAAUCCCAGGCUUUGUGGCUCAGAAAUCCAAAACUAAGGCUCAAGUAGAGUAGGGCCAGCUGAAAUUGUGGAAGAAAGUAUCAGGACCUUAACCUAUGUUUCCAUUGUAUUUUACAAGUAUUACAUCAAAGUGGAACCCAGCUAUGUAACUUAACUGAUUAUAAAUAUUGCUCCUAACAGUCAUGGGAGAAAGGUAGGAGGGGACAGAAGGCCAAAGAGAUUACUGAGUAUUUUGUGCUGCGUGAUGUGGUUCCUCCAGUAAACCUUCUGGACCUUCCAUAAAUGUUCUGAAAUACUUGAUGUGAUGUGAUCUGAUGUGAACCGAAUUUUGCAUCUAAGUUUGUUCAGGAGCCAUCCCCAUGUUGGGAGUUGGGGUCAGAGGCCAGAGUUAUACUGAGACGAAACUGAGUCUUCUGUGGAAGACAUCCACAGAAAUUUAGGGAAACUUUUGGAAUUCUCUAGGCCUUGAAAAUUUGAGGUAUAAGGAGAUUUCCUCUAGAAUGUAAGGAAUAGGGGUGUUCCUAAUUGAUCAUCAUGCUACAUUUUGAGGACCUAUCCAGGAUAGUUUGAACUAAGGUGGUGUAAACACACACACACAACAAAAUGAACUAAGGUGCUGUAUGUAACCAGCUACACGUUGAUCCUGAGCGAAGAGUACACCCUCCCCACUACUGCCAACUCUUAGAUGGUUGAUGCCAGGAUACUGAUGCUAAUUCCACAGAACCCUCUAUGGUCCCAGGGAAUCAAUUUCAAAGAUAAAGGGAAGUUGUGUUAAUUACUUUAAAAUCACCCAUAUAGUUUUCAGAGAAUGAAUGUACAAUCUCGAAUUAGAUGUUUCAACAGGAAGCUUUAUGUGAACUUAGAGCCACUGGGGCCGAAGAAAUGCCUGGUGAAAUAAUUAGUGGCAGAAGACCUCAACGUCUGGCGUUCACCUCUGUAGACAUCCCAUUCCUUAGGAGGGUGGGUUUUUUCCAGGAAACUUACGAUAUGCUUGAAAUUAUCAUCCUCUACUCUGUUUCUUUGCUGAAACAGGGUUCCAUUAUCCACUUGAAGAACAUUGGGUUGUUUAUAUUCUGGGUGAUUUAAAAUAAGACUACUAUAAAGGUUUGCACACGGGAACUCAUUUCCUUAUGGAUAAAUACCUAGGAGUGAGAUUGCUGGAUCAUAUGGUAAGUGUGUGUUUAACUUUAUAAGAACCCCCCCCCCAACAGUUACAAAUAAUGGUUAUCAUUUUGCAUUGCCACCAAUGAGGAAAUAAACAAAGAUUGCCCAAAUGAGAACAAACAGGCUGUUUACUCAGAGCUUACUAUAUAGCAGGGGAACCAGCCGUUAUCACUCGAGUUUGGCAAGCAGGGUAGUUCAAAAGCUUUACGGUAGGAAAAAAAGGGAAGAUUUCAGGUAUUUCCUGACUGGAAGCUGUUAGCAUGGAAAGACUGUAGGCGAGUUGAAUAGAAGCGGGGCAUCCUAUGUGAUUGGUUAAGGGAGCAAGUAUGUCUUUCUCUGGUUCAUCUGAAAUUGGAAACAGGGGCAAAAUGGGGAAGCUGGCAGUUACUGACCAAGUCUUGACCGUUUGGGUCCAAUUGCUACAGAGGUUGUGGUUUGAUUUCUCUGGCUGGUUGCUUCAGAGGUUGUAGGUCAUGGCUCUGUUUCUUUAUACAAUUCUGGUCAUUGCCUUUAUGUUGAUUCAGUCUCUCACUUGAAGAAGGUAAUGGCACCCCACUCCAGUACUGUUGCCUGAAAAAAUCCCAUUGAUGGAGGAGCCUGGUGGGCCACAGUCCAUGGGGUCGCAAAAAGUCGGACACGACUUAACUUUCA